rnacentral:rRNA from 1 species
AAUGGUCGGAAGACUGAUCCAGCCAUGCCGCGUGAAGGACGAAGGCGCUCAGCGUUGUAAACUUCUUUUGGAUGGGGAUAAUGGUCUCGAUUAAUCGGGAUUUGAAGGUACCAUCAGAAUAAGCACCGGCUAACUCCGUGCCAGCAGCCGCGGUAAUACGGAGGGUGCGAGCGUUAUCCGGAAUCACUGGGUUUAAAGGGUGCGUAGGCGGCGAUGUAAGUCAGUUGUGAAAUCGCUGGGCUUAACCCAUGCAAUUGCGAUUGAUACUGCGUUGCUUGAAACAGGUUGAGGUAAGCGGAAUGUGGCAUGUAGCGGUGAAAUGCAUAGAUAUGCCAUAGAACACCGAUUGCGAAGGCAGCUUGCUGGGCCUUGUUUGACGCUGAGGCACGAAAGCGUGGGGAGCAAA